rnacentral:lncRNA from 1 species
GGGGGCGCAGGAGCCCCAGGCUACCAUGGACUACCGGGGAUGAUUGGUUACCCUGGCAACGAAGGCCCCCCAGGGCCCUCUGGAGCCAAGGGUCACCAAGGUCUUGUUGGAAGCUCAGGACCAAAAGGCUCCAGGGUAAGAUGUCUCUCUUUAUCUCUUUAUAUAUUAAUAUAUAGAGAUAUAUAGAGAGAUAAAGAUGUAUAUCUUUCUAUGCAUCCUUAUUAACACUUUAAUUCAUUGGACUUGGAGUAUGUUUGCAGGGGCUCCAACCUAUGAUUAACCAUAAGAACCAAGCAUGUUUUCCUCCCAUGUCCUGCAGGGUCUUCCUGGAAAACCAGGAUUCCCUGGUACUCCAGCUCAGCCAGGAAUACCUGGCAGUGAAGGACCUAUCGGCCAGCCAGGACUCCCAGGAUGCAAUGGGACAAAGGGAGGAGAGGGGUAUCUGGGGCUGCCUGGUGUUCCAGGUCCGGUUGGGUUACCAGGUAUCCCUGGUCAACAUGGACCCAAGGUAAUUUUUUUUGCAUGAUGCCUCUUUCAAAAUCACUAAAACAUAGUUUUAUUCCCAAAUGGAACGGUUCCUUACUGUUUUUAAUGCAAUUCUGUCUAUACUGCUUCCUGCAGGGAGAGUCAUUAUUCUUUGCAUUGGGAGAGGAAAUUGAAGGCAUCCGAGGGCCCCCUGGACAAGACGGAUACGCAGUGAGUCUGUCUAAGAAUAAGUUUGAUAUUCAAUAAAAUUAAAGGUCAAGCUGGAAACAUAGGUAGGUCCUACUGUAACCACAGUUCUGUCAAGUCCUACUGUAAACACAGAGGUACGUUAUACUGUAAAUAGUUAUGUCCUAUUGUUAACAGAGCUGGGUCCUAGUGUAAAAACAGUUUUUUUCCGAGUGUAAACAGUUAGGUCCCGGUGUAACACAGCUCGGUCCUACUGUGUUAGGUCCUACUGUAAACACG